rnacentral:rRNA from 1 species
AUUGAACGCUGGCGGCGUGCCUAACACAUGCAAGUCGAGCGGUAACAGGUGUAGCAAUACAUGCUGACGAGCGGCGAACGGGUGAGUAAUGCUUCGGAAUCUACCUUAUGGUGGGGAAUAACUAGCCGAAAGGUUAGCUAAUACCGCAUACGUCCUACGGGAGAAAGCAGGGGAUCGCAAGACCUUGCGCCAAAAGAUGAGCCGAAGUCGGAUUAGCUAGUUGGUAGGGUAACGGCCUACCAAGGCGACGAUCCGUAGCUGGUCUGAGAGGACGACCAGGCACACUGGGACUGAGACACGGCCCAGACUCCUACGGGAGGCAGCAGUGGGGAAUAUUGGACAAUGGGGGAAACCCUGAUCCAGCGACGCCGCGUGUGUGAAGAAGGCCUGCGGGUUGUAAAGCACUUUUAGUGGGGAUGAAAUGUGCAGGGUUAAUACCUCUGCAUUUUGACCUAACCCACAGAAAAAGCACCGGCUAACUCUGUGCCAGCAGCCGCGGUAA